GAUGUACUUCCUCCGUUCCAAAAAGCUUGUCUUAAAUUUGUCUAUAUACGGAUGUAUCUUGACACGUUUUAGUGUUAGAUACACCCGUAUCUAGAUAAAUCUAAAUUGUUUUUGGGGCGGAGGUAAUACAAA
rnacentral:pre_miRNA from 1 species